UAUUUCUAUAUUCAUCAUUUUUAUUAAUAUUCUUUUUUUAAUAAUAUUACUCAUUAUUAUCCAUGCUCCUGCAAUGCUGGCUCUUGUGGUCUAAUCUUCUGAUUGUGUCUUCACAAGUCACAGAUAAGAAGGAAUGUUUCCAUUUCAAGGUUUCACAGGAGGUUGUGAAGCAGUUUGGUAACUUUUACGAUAAUCAGACGAACCCAGGCGAAGCACAGACAGACAAAGACGUAAAUGAGAUCAUUCAAUAAACUCUGUUAAUCUAUUAUUUAUCCCUUUUUUACCUUAGUAAAAUGGAAGACAAUUAAGAAUAAUUCACUUGUUGACCGUUUGGAUAUCAAGACCAACAUUGUGGUGGAGACAAGUUUUUUUUUUACCAUGGAUGGAUCCAACAUUCCCGGUGACUGAAAGUGACUGGUGACGUGUAACAGGAAAGCUGUGCCUCCUUUCAGGAACGAAGGCCUGAAACCGAUUAUACCACAAAGUUGCAUUCAUACGCCAUCUGCUGGUAAAUAUGAAAAUUGUUUUUGAAAAUCUCAUAAUGUUCUCUAGGCCUAGAACAUGUCAAGAGCACAAUUUAAAAUGAUUUCUGAAACAAUACAUUUUGGAUUUGGUUUUCAGCGUUGAUGUAUUUCGG